CGCAACCAUGAAGGUAAAGAUUCAAAGCCAGAUUAUUCAAUUCUGAAUUGAAUAGUGUAACGGCUUCCUCCAUUAAAAUUGCCCAUCAAAACUCUGUAGAACUUCUCCUCCCGUAUGACAUCCAAACGCUUCACCUUCAUCCAAACUACACCUAUAUAUAACCGAGCUCAAGAUCAGUUCAUGUGUUACAAAAAAACAUCCACCAUCGACGUAUCUACAGCCGUUCUCUUUGAAGAUGUUGUUCCCAGAGUGUCCGAGGAGGCAGCGUUGAUUUUUCGGAUGUUCGAAAUCAAGUAAA
rnacentral:lncRNA from 1 species